GGGCCGCUGGUCUAGUGGUAUGAUUCUCGCUUAGGGUUCACCCUGAUGUUUACAAAGUUGGUUAUUCUUCUGAAUAUACACUUGCGAGAGGUCCCGGGUUCAAUCCCCGGGUGGCCCC